CAUAAAAUUACUAUGCUUUAACUAUAAGGGAAAAACCAAGUGCGAAAGAAAAAGACCUACACACACAACUCAAAAGGUUUUGUAUUUUUCAGCAUCUGUGGUCUGGUACCUACUUUCAGAGAUCACCACUAUUACAAGGAAACGACUGAACUGUCUCAGAAAGGUACCCCAAGGAAUGGACAGCCAUGGACAACUGCUUGCAGGCACACAGGAGAUAGGGGGAAUGUCCUUCCUUAUCCCAGCCAAAUGUCCAUUAUUCUGCAUUUUAAUCUCCUCACUCUGCAGAUGUGAAUGAAAGAAAACAUGCUGCUCUGCUUCACAGACUGCAGAAUCUUAGAUGCAGUUGCUUCUUUUUGAAACUCUUUGGUAAAACUCAGCUCCUGCCUAAAACAGGAUUCUUAAAGUUGAAAACUCCAAGAGACCUAUACAAGUUCCCAUCAUGUGCCAGAUUUUCAGCUGAAGUUCUUGUCCAUUUUGACUCCUUUAUCAAUACUUGAUGACUACUGAACAUAGGUUGUUGAAUUUCUUCAUGCUUUGAACUAAUUUUAUCACAACUAUAACUGAGAUAUUGACCAGUGAAGUAGGAAUGGGAUGACAUGAUGGAAACAAACGUUUUCUUCUCCUAGUUGCAACUAGCUGAUGAUUGGAUGUGAAAUGUAAUACUGGUAAUGUUCUAAGUGUCCCAGUCCAGAGAUGGGUGGAAGAGGGUAUGUAAUGUGAACCGAUCUCUGUAUGAAAAUAAUACUGGCUAGGUUGGGUAAAGGCUAUAUAUAAAAAUAAAGAUCUCGAACACAGAGGUAUAAAACACAGAUUUAAAUUCCAGAGGGCAAGUGAUGACAGGGAUAGGGAUAGCAGUUGUGAACUAGGAUACUAUUAGCUCACAACCAUAAGUUCCCAACAAAAAAUAUAAAAUCAGUUAACAAGUAUUUUGUUCUUAAGUAAUAUUUAGAGUAGCAUUAUAUAGAAAACUCAAAGCAAACUGAUGCAUCCAGUGAAUCAACACAGUCAGUAAACCUAGGCUGCAAAAAGAAUAUGGUGAGCAUGGUGAGCACUACUGUAAAUUAAAAGGAAAGGACUCUUACUGGGGAUAAUCAUAGCUGUGGCUUUUAAGUAACCCCAGAAAACAUAACUGUCCAAAUAACACUUGAUGUUAUCUUACAAACUUGCCUGAGAUCACAACAUCCUUCACAUUGUGUUUUCAUUUGUGAAAAGGAUGACCAAAAUUCACAUACCUGCUGAAAUACAGCAACCACAUAUAAAAUAAGCACUCUUUGUAACUAUGAUUUCCUUUCAUUUCUUAUUUCUCAUAAACCCCAGAGUUUUAACAAAAUUAUUGAUUCGUUUGAAAGAGAGUCAAAGAGAUUUUAAGUGCCCUUGCAUCCUAGUUUCUGAAAUAUUUGAUCCAUUAAUGUCUGUCAGCGGUCCCUGUCAGCAAUGGUCACCCUGUUGUCUUCAUCUCUGGAACUACGAAGGAGAACCCCUGGAUACCAGAGACCUUCUUCACAUAAACCUCACUUCUAUGGGCUACAGCAAGGGUUGCUGACAGCUGCCUCUGAUGUUUGGGUGUCUUUCCAGCUCACAACAAAAAGACUUUGUGCCAUAGGACCUUACUGGUGCCAAUGAUCUUUCUCUCAAAACCAGCAGGCUGUGAGUGCUCUACCAGAGCUUGUUAGAGAAGCGCAAUGGCUUGCACAUCUAAGAACCAUCAGCAUCCACCCUGUGCCCGAGCAAAAUUUUAAAAGUUCGUGCAAGCACCACCAUGUUUCUCAGAUUUUUAAAAAACAAAAUGAACAGUAUCAAAUGGAAAACCUAAGAGACCAAGAGAUUCACUGCAAUAACCACCAGAAUGUCAGUGCAACCCCUGCCUCUUACAGCAAAAUAGACUUUCAGCAGGGAAACAUUUCCCUUAGCUAAAAAAACCCAACCAAGUCUGAGCUGAAGGAGAGUGGCUCACAGCAAAUAAUUGGAAAUCCCCCCUGCUCCAGUCUAGAGCCAAUUCACCUUAUUGUUACAAAAUAAAAUAAACUCAAACCAACAGUUGGUAAGAUGGUCCUGAUUAAUCACUCAGUCUGCCACCUGUAAGAGGAAGAUGGCAGGUCGCAGUGCCCCUGGCUAAAGGCAAAAAUAACUUCUUCAGUGAAAUGUCUGUCUCCAUGUAGACCUUAUGUUCAAUAGAUGAUGAAAGAUCAUGUGAAAAGCCAUGCACAGGGAGGCUCACUCAGUCUGGUCUGGCUGAACUGGCUUUGAAGCACUAGUGUCUGAACCCCUUGCUACAAUUAACAUGCUCCUUUCCUCAUUAAUAUUGGACCCAGCUGGUUUAGGUCCUGUGUGGAUGGAUCAUCUGGCACCCUGAUGAGAUCAGUGGAGGAACAUAAACACAACAGAAGCCACUGCCAUCAAAAUAAGCAGUUUCUUCAGCAUAACAAAAUAACUAAUUCACAUCAAAAAUGUGGUAUUUCAGUUUCUCCUUCUUGACCAUUAAUAUCAGCUGGGGGAUUUCUCAAUGUUCAUCAAAAAAGCUGGUAGGUAUGGCACAGUACUAAUGAGGAUAAAAAAAAAAAAAAAAAAGGACAAGAGGAAAACUAGUUCAAGCUCAAACCCAGAUUUGGUUUUUUCAGCUGGAGCGUCCUUGAUUUUAUUUCUGUUAAGAUGUAAAUAUACUUAGCCAGAAAAGUAUACAGACACAAAACUUCAGAAAUUACAGACUCAGUAUAUAUAGGUACUGUUUUCCAUCCAAGGAUCUUUAGAUGCUUUAGAGAAAUAGAUUCCAAUGUGUCUGGGCAUGUUAUCCUACUCAUUUGACAGACAGAGAAAAAGGGGGAAGAGAACAAUACCAUUUCCUACUGUCAGAAAACGAGCCUCUAUCAAAGCCUGGGCCAAACCCAAAAAUCUUGACCUCUUCUUGUGAGGGAUGUUACAGUCCACUCCAAAUGACUCUGGAGGUUAUAAACAGUUUUCUUUUCAUGUUCUAAGACAUACACACACAUACCUAUAGUAAAAAUGUUAUAUUAGUUAUUGGUUUCUUCAGGAAGCCAAUGUUUUGACUGCUCUAAACAAUUGCUCAUUAAAAGGCUUAAAAUAGG